AAUUACACUGAAGAUAUUAACAAUCAGCGAUGUUAAAAUCAUAUUAGGUCAAUUCCAUCCAAAGUGGCUCAGACCGGUAAAAUACUAUCAUAAUAACUUAUUUAUAAUGAAAACCGCAAAUUUUCCUCCUUGUUGUAGCGUUAAAAAAAAGUAAAAUUGCACAAAAAUGUUGACAUUUACA